rnacentral:rRNA from 1 species
CCUACGGGAGGCAGCAGUGGGGAAUAUUGCACAAUGGGGGAAACCCUGAUGCAGCGACGCCGCGUGAGUGAAGAAGUAAUUCGUUAUGUAAAGCUCUAUCAGCAGGGAAGAUAAUGACGGUACCUGAGUAAGAAGCCCCGGCUAACUACGUGCCAGCAGCCGCGGUAAUACGGAGGGGGCAAGCGUUAUCCGGAUUUACUGGGUGUAAAGGGGGCGCAGGCGGGAGCGCAAGCCAGGUGUGAAAGCCCGGGGCCCAACCCCGGGACUGCACUUGGAACUGCGCGGCUGGAGUGCAGGAGGGGCAGGCGGAAUUCCUGGUGUAGCGGUGAAAUGCAUAGAUAUCACGCAGAAUCCUGAUUGCGAAGGCAGCCUUCCGGCGCCCUACUGACGCUGAGGCACGAAAGUGCGGGGAUCGAACAGGAUUAGAUACCCUUGUAGUC